GCGUAUAUGAAGACAACAACGACGUGAUUAUCUCAUACACCACUCGAGACGCUGCUGUUUACCUGUGGACGACUGAAAUGCCGCCUCCUGCCUGCUGUGCAACUUGCUGCGGGACCACCGAGCCCUGCAAAGCUGAUUGUAAAUGCGGCUCCUCUUGCACUUGUACAAAAUGCCCCUGCGGGACCAAAGACUCCAGUGGCUCGAAGUAAACGAGGUAUGAUGACCUUCCUGCCGUCUGUUAACAGAAGUAAUUGCUUAAGUGACGUUUACAUCUAGAAACAAGAAAUUGUGAUCAAUAAAACGCUUAAAAUGUG